AGAGUUUGAUCCUGGCUCAGGACGAACGCUGGCGGCGCGCCUAACACAUGCAAGUCGAACGGUGAAGAGGAGCUUGCUCCUCGGAUCAGUGGCGGACGGGUGAGUAACACGUGAGCAACCUGGCUCUAAGAGGGGGACAACAGUUGGAAACGACUGCUAAUACCGCAUAACGUAUCGGGAUGGCAUCUUCCUGAUACCAAAGAUUUUAUCGCUUAGAGAUGGGCUCGCGUCUGAUUAGAUAGUUGGCGGGGUAACGGCCCACCAAGUCGACGAUCAGUAGCCGGACUGAGAGGUUGAACGGCCACAUUGGGACUGAGACACGGCCCAGACUCCUACGGGAGGCAGCAGUGGGGGAUAUUGGACAAUGGGGGCAACCCUGAUCCAGCGACGCCGCGUGAGGGAAGAAGGUUUUCGGAUUGUAAACCUCUGUUGACGGAGAAAAAAAUGAUGGUAUCCGUUUAGAAAGCCACGGCUAACUACGUGCCAGCCGCCGCGGUAAUUC
rnacentral:rRNA from 1 species